GGCAGCGGCGGGCGAGCAGACGGGCCACAACAUUUUACCGUUGGAGAUAGCGACGUUUCGUUGGUGACCACAACAAACCAGCAUCAUCGUCGUCGGCGGCAUCAGCAGGCGAUUUGCCAGAAAACUACGCCUACGUCUCCGUUGCAGCUCCGACUUCACCGCACGGCUCAAUAUGCUCAUCGCGGGGUGACCGGACACCCGCGAGCGCCGCCGGAGAAAGUCAACACAAAAGCAACACAAAGUCAACGCACAAAGUGUAACACAAAGUCAACACAAAAUCAACACACAAAGUCAACACAAAAUCAACACACAAAGUGGAACACGAAGUCAACACAAAAUCAACACACAAAGUCAACACAAAAUCAACAAACAAAGUGUAACACAAAGUCAACACAAAAUCAACACAAACCCAACACACAAAGUCAACGCAAAAUCAGCACACAAAGUCAACAUAAAGUCACCACAAAAUCAACACACAAAGUCAACACAAAAUCAACACAAAGUCAACACAACGGCAACACACAAAGGCAACACAAAAUCAACACAAAAUCAACACACCGAGUCAACACAAAAGCAACAUAAAAUCUACAUAAAAUUUCAACACAAAAUCAGCACACAAAGGCAACACAAAAUCAACACAAAGUCAACACAAAAUCAACACAAAAUCAACACGCAAAGUCAACACAAAGUCAAGGACGCGCCUACGUUGUGUGCGUGGCUCUCCCAAAGCUAUCCAGCAAUUGGAAGUAAUCUCUAGUAAUAGGAUUACUCAGGAAGUGAAAACAUGUCUACUGUAGUAGUUAAUUAAUUCCAUAUAUUCUUAAUCGACCAAUUGAUGGACCCCCCCCCAAAACCAUCAUUAUUGAUUGAUAAUUAUGUUUUAUUUAUCGGCUGAGUAACACUCCAUUGUGGUGAAGAUUCGACACGAUUAUUUGUGCUGCCACUUAGCUGUCCGUGAAUAAACUGGGUUCUAAUCCAAAAGUGAGUUUGACGAUCUCAAACCUAACUUGCACACACACAAAAAAAUCCAUCAAUUAAUUUGGCAAACUUCCACCACUUUGUUUCCAGCGACAUACCGUACCAGUGCUUGAGUGCGACCUUUUACGCGACCUUUCUUAAGGUCGCACUCAGUACACACAGAGGGGCUCGCCACAAAUGAACCACGAUACCUUGCCGAUCUCGUCAGGGGACAUAAACCAUCAAUCCAACUCCGCUCAUCCUCGCAGCAGCGACGUUUGUCUGGCCAUCGAACAAAUUCGGCCACCGCAUCACGCGCUUUCGGAUGUGCUUCUGCGGCCGUCUGGAACGCUCUUCCUUUCGAUGUUAGGAAGCCACUGGAGCUAUGCACGUUCAUAUCUAGAUUGAAAACUCAUUUCUUUAGAACUGAUUGUUGUUCUGACCCCGCACCUCCGUUUAGCACGGUUGGCUACGUAUGGUGCGAAAGACGUUCAACAUACAUAUCCAUUCAACAUAUAUCCUCGUAUUUUUAGGUUUUUUCGGUAAAGUCACGUAGGUAAAAAAAUAGAAUUAAAAUUAAUAAAAGUAAAAUAAAGAUUUCAGCCGCACCACCUCUACAUAACAAAAGGCUCAGUCCCAUUUACACGCACCUUUACAUCAUCCGCACCUAGUUUACACAACAAAGGCUCAUUCCUAACAGCGUGCUUCAGCCGCACCGAACCUCACAAAAAUAAUAUUCAGGGCCUACCUUGGCUCCUCCCACCCUCAACCAGUAUAUAUACAAGGACUGUUUUCUUGGAAUUUAUCUCACUUGAUACAGCUAUCGUGCUGUGACGGUUCCACCUGAAGACGGAAACUUGUGUUGCCUCCGAAACGUCGUGAUUUUUAUUUUUAUUUUACUUUUAUAAAUUUUAAUUUUUACCUACGUGACUUUACCGAAAAAAACCUAAGAAUAUGAAUCCUUGCAGUCACGAAAGCUUCAAAUCUAGAAUAUAUCCUCGUCUGUUUCAAUUUAGUCACCCCUUAUAUCCGUUUAAUGACUCUGUAACUGAAUCUGUGAUUGUGCUAUAAUUAAUCAGUCCAACAAUACAUCUGACCGAGCCGACUUGCGCUUUAUGAAUGCAUAAUUCAACAUCGAUGUUUGCUGGUGCAAUAUUUGUUUUUCGAUUACCUCGUGCGACGUUUUUUUCUUUCUCUCAUUCCUAUUUUGUGUCGUUACUCGACUUAAAUGUAUUUUUUUAGUGGUAGUUCCCAUCUGGUUAAACAAAUCAACUUUACUUGACGCUGACUUCUAACAGAAGAAAAAAAAUACAAUAAAUAUAACUAACUACAUUCAGCUAAUCUUUGGGGUCAUGGCUUUUCAUAGCAUUUAUCCUCCGUCUCCCGUGCGGGUUAUUUUUGGUCAGAAGGCCGCGUUCACCAUGACAGUGGCAGCCUGGACGAUGAUGAUGAUGGUGGCAGCAGCUGUGCAGUGUUUUUUUUCCCGUUGCCAAAAGAAGAGCCCUUUUACACCUUCAGGAUGGAGACACAGAGCGGGAGAGAGGAGUGUUUAUUUGUUUUUUGCUCGGGGAUUUCCGGAGGUGAGAGGGUUGUGGGAUUCUCGCCUCCCGUGCUAUUGCAUCGUUCUUCAGAUGAACAUGAAUCGAGACGAGUCUUCUGCUCACCCACCCACCCAGCAAAACAACAACAAUCAUUGCAAAUGGCUUCAAUUCCUCCGCUCCCGGAGGUCUCUCGGGGUGAGGGGAAUUUUUUUUACUUUCUCCCUCAUGGUUUUCAACAAAUGGCUCACUCGAUCAGUGGGACCGCUGCCAGCGGCCACCGUGGUACCAACAGCAGAUGGGUUUUUUUCUUCUUGUCAAAAUCAAAAGUACUCUUGCACACUGUACCUCGAACAAAAUCCGCGGACAAAUUCCCAUGGCGAGCAGCUUGGGGAAAGCAUUGCUCGCCAACGAAGGAAUCCUCCCGCACCAUUCAUAAAUAAUAAUCAACAGCGACCUCACCGUGCCCUCAAAGGCGGCGGAGUACCUGGAGAAACCCCCAUGCACUGCCAGGGAGAUAGCCGCUCAGCACAACACGCUGUUACAGACGCGUCCGGAUAGUCACCUUACUUGCUGCGCUGCCCUCAAGUGGCCACCGUGGAACUCUUGCGGACUCCACCUCCUCGAGUUGAUGCCGUUGCGUCGUUUCGCGAAUACGUCGUCGAUUCGCGAAUGCCGAUAGCCGGUGUGCCGUCGCCGCAACCCCCACACUUGCGUCGCUUCUCGGCCUCGACCACCGUUAACCCUGCGGAUCGCUUCGAUUUACGCCGUUUCGAUAUUCGUCGUCGCGCCCUUCGCGAACGCAUCCCCGACGUAAAAGCGGGGUACUGCCGCACGCGAAUGAUGGUGUUUGCAUGACCCUAUUACAAUGAAUGUACCAGCUCUGUGGUGUACGGAGGUGACGGCAUCGUGAUCGGCAUCACCACCGUCGCCACCGUCGCCACCGCCACUGCCACCGUCAUCAUCGUCACUCUCGUGUCGGUGUAACCUCUUGACCCCGACAGCCACUCUACCCUCCAGCAAAGACAAAUUAUCCCACACGCGGAACUUCAAUCAUCACUGGCAGGGCCUGCAGUGGAGACUCAAUCAUAGUCUCACCCACUCUCACCGUCAACUCUUCUUCAGAUUCAAGCUGCACGUGCACGUCUGUAUGUGCUACGGCGAGCAUGUAUGUACACGUAUGUUGAACUUCUUUCACGGCACUACGUAGCCAACCAUGUUAAUCGGAAGUGUGGGCAGUCGGCGAGGAGCGGCAGUGUGGCGGAUAGCGCGCUGCGCUGUGAGCCCAGCGACCCGAAUUCGAUUCCCGCUCACGGCCAACACCAGUGAUGAUUAUCUGACCCAGUUCUGGGCCUCGCCUAGGGCGGCUCAGCCUCAACUGAGUGCCUGGUUCGGAGCGUAAACAUCGCCAUUAGGGAGACAAAGGCGGUCGGGCGUGCUGCUGCCCACUCAUCCCUUCGUGUGCCGUGCCGGCCUUCAUAGGUGCUCGCUAACAGCACCUGCCCCUACAGUCGGUUACGGGGGAUCUUUGUCUUGUUGAACAUAUUUAUACGUCUGCACGUACAAUAUCUGUGGGUUUAUACGCGUGUGCAUGCGUGGUCACGUAAAAUAACUUACUUUGCAUGAGAGGCGACAUUUGUAAAUAAUAAGCCAGCAUUUAAUUCAUCUCCAAGGAACGCAAUUCCGUUAUUGUUAUUAAUUCAUUACUGCUACUCUUUGCGGCCUCAUUACACGAGCCGGUUUUAUUUAUUUUGUUACCGCCUUUGUCGACGCUGAUAUUUGCCAUCUUUUGCAACAUUAGGCGAUGAUAUGUUUUUCUUCUUCUUAUCCCUUAUACGUAGUGAAAAAAAAUAUAUAUUGUAUUCAAUAUUACAAUACAGCAACGCUAAUUACCACGUGCGAAAAGUGUGACGUCAUUGCCAUUGUACUGGAAUAUUCCAUUAAAAAUUAAAUUGCGGGCC